rnacentral:rRNA from 1 species
UACGGGGGGGGCAAGCGUUGUUCGGAAUUACUGGGCGUAAAGGGCUCGUAGGUGGCCAACUAAGUCAAUCGUGAAAUCCCUCGGCUCAACCGGGGAACUGCGCUUGAUACUGGAUGGCUUGAGUUUGGGAGAGGGAUGCGGAAUUCCAGGUGUAGCGGUGAAAUGCGUAGAUAUCUGGAGGAACACCGGUGGCGAAGGCGGCAUCCUGGACCAACACUGACACUGAGGAGCGAAAGCCAGGGGAGCAAACGGG